ACCCCCGAGGGGCGCUGCAGCGGACAACCGCGAGGCUCGGGGGCAGGGUGAGACACGAUAACGGCGCCCAUUCGCU
rnacentral:ncRNA from 2 species